CCUACGGGUGACAGCAGUGAGGAAUAUUGGUCAAUGGACGAGAGUCUGAACCAGCCAAGUAGCGUGAAGGAUGACUGCCCUAUGGGUUGUAAACUUCUUUUAUAUGGGAAUAAAAUGUUCCACGUGUGGGAUUUUGUAUGUACCAUAUGAAUAAGGAUCGGCUAACUACGUGCCAGCAGCCGCGGUAAUACGGAGGAUCCGAGCGUUAUCCGGAUUUAUUGGGUUUAAGGGGAGCGUAGGUGGAUUGUUAAGUCAGUUGUGAAAGUUUGCGGCUCAACCGUAAAAUUGCAGUUGAAACUGGCAGUCUGGAGUACAGUAGAGGUAGGCGGAAUUCGUGGUGUAGCGGUGAAAUGCUUAGAUAUCACGAAGAACUCCGAUUGCGAAGGCAGCUCACUGGACUGCAACUGACACUGAGGCUCGAAAGUGUGGGUAUCAAACAGGAUUAGAUACCCGGGUAGGC
rnacentral:rRNA from 1 species